AGUCAUCAACCCCUGCCGUUUGUCUCGGUGGCGGGUUGGAACUUGGGGGUCUGCCGCCGAGAGGCGGCUCCCCUUAAAUGCAUCGGUUGGGCCUGUGGGUCGAACUCGAUUGGGCGUUGUACCAUCCUCGCUCUAACGAGAUGUUCCCCUUCUUUGUGCCCCUCCACGACCUUGCCUUUUGAGUGGCGGUCAAAACAUAAACUUUGAAA
rnacentral:misc_RNA from 2 species